CCACAUGAAUUUAUCAUGGCGAGUCCGCGCUAGGGCUUGUGCACAGACUAGGAAGGACGUGCGGUGGCAGAUACACCCUAUGAAACGACACAGGAGCCGCUCUCUGGUGCAAGCCCCAGUCCCAUAUGCUGGAGGCAGACACAGCACUUCUGUGCUAGAGGUAAACAGUCAGCCCUUAGCCCCAGGCCGCAGCUCUCUUGUGCAGCAGAUGGCAGCCAGCUCUAUAGCUGGUCCCAUGGGAGCGACAUCCGAUAACCUUGUGAAUUAAAACACCCGAGAUGAGACUGUACUAAGCCUAGAUGAUGUCAUAUGCCUCCGGACUCUAUUACUUCGGAGCGGUUACUGCUGAUAGUACAAGUGAGACUCCAACAUUUCGUCUCAUUACAUCAGUGUGCAGCACGCUAAGUGAUGAGGUCAUUCUUCCCCAAGCGCUGACCUGAUCCCAGAUUACUGCAGCCUUCAGCAUCUGGCAGAGUGAAUUAACACUGCACUGUAAGCCAUUCCACUUUUAUAACGCUGUAAAAACCGUCAGGUGGUCAGACAAGGUCUUAUUCUACUCGUUAGCACUGAGGAAAUGUCCUUUCUUCAAGGAGAAAUGUCAUCACUCCAUAGAUCCAUGCUGGCUUGUGUAAUAAUAACACGGUGCAAUGUGCU